UUUUAUUUCUCUCUCUUGCUCUCUCUCUCUUUUUUUUUGUUUUUUUUAAAGCAGGAUUAAGGAAGCCAAACUCUCAGCCUCAUGAAGAAAGAGCUCAUUUAUUGCAACUAAAAUAUCUUUUCUUGGAAGGCCAUGACCUCAGAAAAGUGAUGGUAUCAGAAGGUGAAGACUUAGGGAGGUGAUUAGGUCAUGGGCGCAGAUCCACAUGAAUGGGAUUAGUGCCUUUAUAAGUCACUCAAGAGAAAGCCCUCGCCUCUUCUGCCAUGUGAGGACACAGUGAGAACGUACCAAUUAUGAACCAGAAAACAGACCCUCAGCAGACAUGGAAUUUGCUGGUGCCUUCAUCUUGGACUUCCCAGAUUUCAG
rnacentral:lncRNA from 1 species